AGGACGAACGCUGGCGGCGUGCUUAACACAUGCAAGUCGAGCGGUAAGGCCUCCUUCGGGGGGUACACGAGCGGCGAACGGGUGAGUAACACGUGGGUGACCUGCCCUCAGCUCUGGGAUAAGCCUGGGAAACCGGGUCUAAUACCGGAUAGGACUGCUUGCCGCAUGGUGGGUGGUGGAAAGUUUUUUCGGCUGGGGAUGGGCCCGCGGCCUAUCAGCUUGUUGGCGGGGUGAUGGCCUACCAAGGCGGUGACGGGUA
rnacentral:rRNA from 1 species